GCCUGGGUGGCUGAGUCAGUUAAGCGUCUGACUUCAGCUCAGGUCAUGAUCUCACGGUUCAUGGGUUCAUGGGUUCGUGAGUUCCAGCCCCGCAUCAGGCU
rnacentral:tRNA from 1 species